UGCCCUAGAGUGGGGGACAACAGUUGGAAACGACUGCUAAUACCGCAUAAGCCCACGGUGUCGCAUGACACUGAGGGAAAAGGAUUUAUUCGCUUUAGGAUGGACUCGCGUCCAAUUAGCUAGUUGGUGAGGUAACGGCCCACCAAGGCGACGAUUGGUAGCCGGACUGAGAGGUUGAACGGCCACAUUGGGACUGAGACACGGCCCAGACUCCUACGGGAGGCAGCAGUGGGGGAUAUUGCACAAUGGGGGAAACCCUGAUGCAGCGACGCCGCGUGGAGGAAGAAGGUUUUCGGAUUGUAAACUCCUGUCGUUAGGGACGAUAAUGACGGUACCUAACAAGAAAGCACCGGCUAACUACGUGCCAGCAGCCGCGGUAAAACGUAGGGUGCAAGCGUUGUCCGGAAUUACUGGGUGUAAAGGGAGCGCAGGCGGGAAGACAAGUUGGAAGUGAAAACCAUGGGCUCAACCCAUGAAUUGCUUUCAAAACUGUUUUUCUUGAGUAGUGCAGAGGUAGAUGGAAUUCCCGGUGUAGCGGUGGAAUGCGUAGAUAUCGGGAGGAACACCAGUGGCGAAGGCGGUCUACUGGGCACCAACUGACGCUGAGGCUCGAAAGCAUGGGUAGCAAACAGGAUUAGAUACCCUGGUAGUCCAUGCCGUAAACGAUGAUUACUAGGUGUUGGGGGAUUGACCCCCUCAGUGCCGCAG
rnacentral:rRNA from 1 species